CUUCCAUUACAACACCAUUUUUCAAUCUCACCUUUGUUCUACAAGACUUAUCUAGUUUGCUGAAUAUGCUUUCAUCUCUUGUCAUGUGGCUCGUACAUCCACUGUUAAUCUACCAUGUGUGCUUUUCGACUGCCAUAGAGGUUUGACCUACCAUGAAUAAACUUCCGGCAAACUCCUCUUCAUCUUUCUUUGUAUAAUUUGCUUGUUGAGUAGGACUUUCUUGUGCUUGAUUCUAUUUCAUUUUGCAAUUCUUCUCAAUGUGCCCAAGUUUCUUGCAAAAUCUGCACUGGAUUGGUGGUUUUCCUUCGAACAAACAAUCAUUUUCUUGAUGAUUGGUUCUGUUGCAGAAUUUACCAGAAAAAAAUUUUCCUUUUUAUCAGAAUUCGAUACCAUUGCUACAGCUUUUCCCUUGUCAUUAUCUCCCUUCUUUCCUUUCUUCUUGACUUGCUUCUCUUUUUGUCUUGCUUGCAAAGCACCUUCUACAACUUCUCCUUCCCUUAUGAUUGAUCUUUGCUCUUAAAUUUGAAGCUUGCUGAUGAGUUCGAUAAUAGUUAUAGUUUUAAGAUCACAAGACUCUUCUAUGCAGAAAUCUUGGACUCAAACUUCACGAGAAGACUAAUUAUAAUCUUUUCAAUCACUUUCUCAUCAGAAAAAUUAUCUUCAAGCAACUUAAUUUUAUUGACUAAAUCAAGAAGCUAGAAGAGUAAUCUUUUAUUAUUUCUCCUUCAUUCAUCUUCAACAUUUCAAACUCUCUUUUCAAAGUUAACAACUUAACAGCCUUAACC
rnacentral:lncRNA from 1 species